AAACUAUAUAAAGAAGGAUUUAAGAAACACAUAUAUUUCUCCUAUAUAUAUUUUCAGCUGCUCAUUUCUGUUUAAGCAUUGGCUUUUACUUCCUUUUAAGUUAGAUACAAAAUAGUUGAAAGCUUAUGUCAUAGUUUGAUUAUGAUGACUUUGCACUGAUCUUUAAGUAAUUCUUCCAACUAGUGACCAUAUGACUUGCUCAAAAUUCAUCCAAUGUGUUUUUUCUGUUCUUCUAUUGGCUGGAGGCCAUUACCUCAGGUGAAUAUAUCAAUUGGGUUGUUUAGUAAGAGCACAGCCACCUUUGUAAUACCAAAGUUGGUUUCGUUUUUGUUGUAUGAGAUCCGGUGCAGAGUAAAAUUUUAAUUAUUGAAAACUUUAUCUGCAUGCGAAAAUGGAAGAUUGAUUUAGAUCUUCUUUGGGCCUCUUUUGCCAAUUUUUUUGUAUUAAGCACACUAAUGUUUUUAUUUCCAAAGUAAUUUGUUAUUGUGAUUGUGUUGUUUGCAGGUUGGUCAUGGUUUUUGAUAAGGGUAGUUCUCUUGCUUGUGGUUUUAUACCAAGAUGUUUUCGGUAUAGGUUUUAUACUCUGCAAGUUUUUGGGUUGUUUCUGCUUUCAGUAUUUUCAUCUUAUUCUCACUUUAUCAACAUACUUGGUAACUUAAGUGAUAGCCACAACUUCCAUAACUCACAUUUUGAAGGAUAUUGAAUUUGGAAAACUACUAUGUUAUUCACGUUUAUUAGACGAUAUGGGAUGACUGAUAUUGAUCAGUUAUAUGUAGUAUCAGUCCUAUGCACCAUCAGUAUGCAAGGAUAAGAUACAUAUAAAAUUAAAGUAUCCAACAUCAGUCCUAUGCAAGGAAGGCUCGCAUGGUAAUGAAAUUAAAGUACAUAUAAAACUCAUUGUGUCAUUUAGAUAGGCUUGUCUGUUAUGUUUCGUUCUUCUUACUGUUAACUAUUCCUUUAAUUCUUAUUUUCUUCUCUUUUGUUAUUCAAAUUCUCAAUGCACCUGCUAUUCUCUAGACACCAAUGUUUAUUUUCUUCUAUUUUAUUAUGUAAGGAUAAGAUGAAGAAAAAGAAGGAUGGAGUUAAAGGAGAAAGUAUUCAAGAAGCACUUGAGGUAGUGAUGGUGAUCUUUCAAAUGACAAUGAUACAUGUGCUGAACUAAAGACCAUGACAUGGCCGAUGACUUAUAUUAUGUAUUUUGUUGUUGGUUUCAAAUAUGCACAUGGUAUACCUGUUUUGUUACCGACUCAAUGACUUAGAAUCUUGUUAGCAUCUCAAUAUGUUUAGAGGUGUUACGAUGCUUAUGUUAGCUUUUGAGAAACUUGUAUGUAUUGGAUGUAAUGAAAUGUGAUUAACUAAAGUAUUGCCUCAUAUUUGUUAUGAAUUCUAAUUCUAGAUGACGAAGCAGGGAAUAUAUAUGUGGUAAUUGGUUUGUCACGAAUUGUUCCUAAUAGGUUUAUGAUUUUGACACAUGUGACAUAAAUUGCACCACAUGUCAAAGGAAUAUGUGACGCUUUCAGUCUCACUUAUCCUCAACCAUAGCAUUCUAGGAUCAAAUUGGGUGACGAUAAAUUCCUCACUUAUACAUUUGUUAUGUGACGAACUUAUAGGUCACUGACUUUUAUAUUUUGUGACGCUUAUUUCGUCACAGUUAAAGUUAUUAAGUGACGAAUUUGGCAUCAUAAAUACUAAAAAUAUGUGGCGAAUGUAAAAUUCAUCACAUGAACUAUAGGUGACGCUGUAUAGGUGACGAACAUAGUGACUCUGGAUUUUUGUCACAUAUGAUCAAAUGUGAUGAAUUUUCAUGUUUAUGUGACGAAUGUCUGUCGCCACCUAAGCCAUAUUUUCUUGUAGUGACCUAAGUGGCCAAUUUCUCAUCUAGGUUCAACCCCACCAAGAACCCAGACCCCAAUUCGACCAAAACCGAAAUCUUUGAAUUGAUUUGCCGCACCUUCUAGAAUUUGUUAGAGGGAGAUAGAUGAAUGUAGACAAAAAUGGUGAAAUAGUAGAAAAAAGUGG
rnacentral:lncRNA from 1 species